AAACAGUCUUUCCUGGCUUGGUCUUCUUCUCCUUUUAAAAUGUUUUAUAAUAACCUUUGUUUUCCCUUUAUACCAUCUAUUACAGACUAAAAUUCUAUUUUAGUGUGCUAUUAUUUAAUUAUUAACUCCCUCAUUCAGUGGAUUGUAAGGUUUAUUUUAUCUCCUUGGCUUAGAAGAUGGCCUGGCACAUGGUAGACUCUUAAAAAUUGUUGAGUGAAUAAAUGAGUGUGUUGCCACUGAGGCAUGAAGUUGAGGAAUCUCCAAUAGGCUGUUGGACAUAGAUGUGUCUGGAGGUAGUAAAAGAGAGUGGGAUGCAGAUACUCUCUUUGAAGAUGAUGAAAUCACCAAGAGAGUGUAGAGGGAGAUGAGAAGAAAGUCAAGGAAAGAAGGAGGAAGCGGUCAACAAGACUAAGAAGAACUGGGUAAGGCAUCUGGCUGGAGGACUAUUGAGUCAGCCUAACACCUCGAAGCCAAAAUAAGCAGCUUUUCUUGCAUAAACUCCACGUAAUCAAAGGUGAUCACAAUAUUCUAUUUUAGUUAUCCUGACCAAAAUUUCCUAAUUUUUUUUUCAUGAGGAAAAUUCACCCUGAGCUAAUCUCAGUUGAUAAUCUUCCUCUUUUUGCUUGAGGAAGAUUCGCCCUGAACUAACAUCUGUGCCAGUCUUCCUUUACUUUGUCUGCUGGUCUCCUCCACAACCUGGCUGCUGAUGAGUGGUGUAGGUCCAUGCCCAGGAUUUGAACCUGGGCCUCCAAAGUGGAAUGGGCUGAACUUAACCACUAAGUCAUGGGGCUGGCCCCUCCUUUUAAAUUUUAAUUUGCCUUUCUGUGAAAUAUAUAAAGCAGAAAGAAAUGGAUUGUUCAGUAAAUUCCUGGAAAACUUCGGGGCUCAAAAACCGUGUUUAAUCUAAAAAUUUAUGGAAAACAAUUAAAGUAUAUUCCUCACUGAAGUUGAAGGUAACAAGAAUCCACAUGUGUAUUAGCCAUCCAUGGAAAUCUCUCCAGAAGAUUACCCUUGGAGGAAUACACUGUUAAUAUAGCUGGUUCAGUCCAGGUUGCCUCCUCAAGCUCAUCUAAAAUAGCAAUAAGUUCUAAAAGUAAGAUAAGCUGGAUCUAACUAAUUGUAACAUGUUCUAUGCAAAGUAAUGAUGUAAUGACAAACAAUUUUGGGGACCAAUAAACCUAUUGAUAAAGAAGAGAGAGAGAAUCAUUUGACUGUUUAUGUAUGAAAGGGAAAAACGAACAUACAUUUUAUGGUUAUAUCACAGAAUAUAUUUGUGGUGGCAAUGGGUACGCUAGGCACCACAGUUUGAGUUCACAGCUCCUUUAUUUUGUUUCUGUACCUACUGCUAUUACUACGACCACUAAGAAUGCCAACAACAAUGAAAAUGACUCUGACGAUGUUAGCUCAAUUUUUUGUGUGCCGAAGGACUCUGCUAAUCACUUAAAAUUCAUUAUCUCAUUUAAUACUCACAACAAAAAUAUAAGUUGGCACAUCUUUUUUCCUGUUGUUCUUAUAAGGAAAUAGAGGAUUUGAGAAGUUAAGUAAAUUGCCCAAGAUUGUGCACCUAAGGAGUGGCAUAGAUGAGACUCCAGCCCAGAUCUAUUUGACUAUAAAGCCCAUGCUCAUAACUAUCAUCAGCUUUUCUGAAAGUUGUUUUGUUUUCUAUUUGUCUACUGAGCAGUCUAAAACUAAAUCUAUAAAAUGUUGUGUAGAGGACUAGACCCAGGAUUCAAAACCUCCCCAAAGCAUGGACAGUCCUCGAGGCCCACGCCACAAUAACCAGCUGUGCCUCCCCUUGCAGCUUUGACCAGGUUGUCAUCCAUCCACCAGCUCUGGUUUGUCUAAGAGGCUGGGAAGUCAACACCAGGGCACUGGCCGAUUUGAUUUCUGGUGAGGGCCUUCCUUCUGAAUUGACUGAGUUUUGGUUUGGAUAAGAACUUAAUAUCAAAUGGUGGAUGGUUGGGGUAUUAAUGUUACGGAACCAGCUUCAUCUUUGCCCGUUGCCCAGAAAGCCAGACACAUAGACGACGAGAUUGCAGCAGGGAGAGGGGUUUUAAUCACAAGGCAGCCAGGUGAGGAAAUGGGAGAAUGAGUCUCAAAUCUGCCUCCCCGAAAAUGGGGACUCAGGGAUAUUUACAGGGUAGCGGACAAGGUGGUCUGAAGUGUGGAGAUAGAUUGGAGGUGAGGAGAGGUGAGGUAAGUGAUGAUCUGUGCAAGCGUAGUCAGACCGUGCCUCUUCAUAGGGCGCAUGUUCACAAAAUGGCGGCAUCAGCGUGAUCUGAGGGUGGAGUUUUUAGUCUCUUGAUGUCAAAAGGUCACUUAUCGGGCAUCUGCACAGGCCCGGUUGAUGGUCUGGUGGUCUCAACUGGCCUAAAGUGGACUAGGGGGUCCUAAUUCCUGAAAAACAGCUCAAACACCCAUUAACAUGAUGACCCAGGCUCUAGGGAGAUAUUAUCUGCAGGAACCUGGUGGGAGUCAGGUAGCAUAUUGCCUAAGCAGCACAGUUAACGAUGUGCAGUGGAACAACUAAAAGCUAUCAUCAGUAAUUGCAAAAAAGAAAAAAAACUUUAGUUACUAGCUAUCUAAUCAUUAAUGGCUAACUGUUUACCAGUUUCAUUAAAAUAUCCCACAUAACCAAGUUUCUGUCUUCUAAAACGUGUGGGUUUGUUUUUCCUUAUGUAGUCAUAGACUAGGAUUGAGAACAUUUUAUUUUUCUUUUGAAGACAUUUUGGUAUUUAC
ensembl:lncRNA